rnacentral:rRNA from 1 species
GUCGAACGGAUCCUUCGGGAUUAGUGGCAGACGGGUGAGUAACGCGUGGGAAGCUACCUUGUGGUAGGGGACAACAGUUGGAAACGACUGCUAAUACCCUAUGAGCCCUAUGGGGGAAAGAUUUAUCGCCAUGAGAUGUGCCCGCGUUAGAUUAGCUAGUUGGUAAGGUAAUGGCUUACCAAGGCGACGAUCUAUAGCUGGUCUGAGAGGAUGAUCAGCCACACUGGGACUGAGACACGGCCCAGACUCCUACGGGAGGCAGCAGUGGGGAAUAUUGGACAAUGGGGGCAACCCUGAUCCAGCCAUGCCGCGUGUGUGAUGACGGCCUUAGGGUUGUAAAGCACUUUCAGCAGUGAAGAUAAUGACAUUAACUGCAGAAGAAGCCCCGGCUAACUUCGUGCCAGCAGCCGCGGUAAUACGAAGGGGGCUAGCGUUGUUCGGAAUCACUGGGCGUAAAGAGUACGUAGGCGGACUGAUAAGUUAGGGGUGAAAUCCCAAGGCUCAACCUUGGAACUGCCUUUGAUACUGUCAGUCUUGAGAUCGAGAGAGGUGAGUGGAACUCCGAGUGUAGAGGUGAAAUUCGUAGAUAUUCGGAAGAACACCAGUGGCGAAGGCGGCUCACUGGCUCGAUACUGACGCUGAGGUAC